rnacentral:rRNA from 1 species
UUAUUGGAGAGUUUGAUCCUGGCUCAGGACGAACGCUGGCGGCGUGCCUAAUACAUGCAAGUCGAGCGAGGGUCUUCGGACCCUAGCGGCGGACGGGUGAGUAACACGUAGGCAACCUGCCUCUCAGACUGGGAUAACAUAGGGAAACUUAUGCUAAUACCGGAUAGGUUUUUGGAUCGCAUGAUCCGAAAAGAAAAGGCGGCUUCGGCUGUCACUGGGAGAUGGGCCUGCGGCGCAUUAGCUAGUUGGUGGGGUAACGG